AUGGCAGACAUUGUGGCCGGAAAGAGUGGCAGGACCAUCACUCUCGAGGUUGAUGGCUCAGAUACCAUCUACAGUUUCAAGGCCAAGAUUCUUGACGAGGAGGCCAUCCCCCCGGGCAAUCAGCGCCUGUUCAAUGGUAAGAAGUUGCUGGAGGAUGAGUGUACCCUAGAUUACUACGGCAUGAAAAGUGAAAGUGUCCUGUAUGUGAGUUCUAGGCAGCCGAGGAGAAACAGGGUGCGUCUCUACAUCAACACUUUGAGAGGCAAGACCAUCACUAGUGUUACAGUCUGGAGCUCCACUAUAAUUGGCAAUGUGAAGGCCAAGAUCCACGAUGAGACGGGCAUCCCCCCUUCCCAGCAGUGCCUCUUCUUCAACGGGACGCUACUGGAGGACGGCCGCACCCUAGAGGACUACAACAUCGAGACGGAGUCCACCCUCCGUCUCAAGCUUGCCAUUCCGGGUGCUCCCAGUCCCAGGUGUCAGCUUGCCAUUCCCCUGCUUGGUGGGAAAUGA
rnacentral:rRNA from 1 species